rnacentral:rRNA from 1 species
CCUACGGUGUGCAGCAGUGGGGAAUAUUGGACAAUGGGCGAAAGCCUGAUCCAGCCAUGCCGCGUGUGUGAAGAAGGCCUUCGGGUUGUAAAGCACUUUCAGUGGGGAAGAAAGCCUUGGGGCUAAUACCCUCGAGGAAGGACAUCACCCACAGAAGAAGCACCGGCUAACUCCGUGCCAGCAGCCGCGGUAAUACGGAGGGUGCGAGCGUUAAUCGGAAUUACGGGGCGGAAAGCGCGCGUAGGCGGUCUGAUAAGCCGGUUGUGAAAGCCCCGGGCUCAACCUGGGAACGGCAUCCCGAACUGUCAGGCUAGAGUGCAGGAGAGGAAGGGAGAAUUCCCGGUGUAGCGGUGAAAUGCGUAGGGUUCGGGAGGAACACCAGUGGCGAAGGCGGCCUUCUGGACUGACACUGACGCGGGGGUGCGAAAGCGUGGGUAGCAAACAGGAUUAGAUACCCGAGUAGUC